ensembl:snoRNA
GCCCUUCAGAUCCCUUACCCAUCAGACCUAAACGGUGGUCUUAGUGGCUAUAAAAGGAGGAAAAGUUAAACUGAAACAGACUCGGAUCCUUUAGUGACAAAUACGUUUGUUGCAAACAAAU